GGCGGCAGCGGGCGAGCGCCGGGACCGCGGAGGCCAGGCUGUGGGUGCGGUUGUCCGUUCGUCCCCCGGGGAUGCCGUUGAAAGCAGCAGCCUCAGGCUUGCGUGGGCUGUCUCUGCCUGGCCUCCCUCUCCUCGCGGCGCGGGAGCGCAGAGGGACAGGCGGAGCGCUUACUGGCUGUGGGCAGGAGCUGCUGAAGCUGGAGAGGCCACAGAAGGGUAAAGCUGCUGAAGAAUAAAAUAAAGAGGAUCCAACCAGCAGCUGCAGACAGGAGACAGCCUGCCUCUCCAGGUGAGGAUGGAUCCUUCUUAGUGUAGUCCUCAGCAGAUCUGAUCACCAACGUGCACGGCAGCAUCUGUGGAUGACAGUCAAGUGACUGCAGCUACAGAGGAGGAAGGGAGAGGGAGAGAGAGAGAGAGGGACAUGUCUGAACUGUCAAAUUCUCCCAGCAGCUCCAAGAGUGGGAGGUACAGUGAGUCCUGGACCCCUGGGGCUGUGUCACCCCUCUUCU